rnacentral:tRNA from 1 species
GGCCCUUUGGCGGAAUGGUAUACGCAGGAGAUUUAAAAUCUCUGGCCCGAAAGGGCGUGCGGGUUCGAGUCCCGCAGGGGCUA